rnacentral:hammerhead_ribozyme from 1 species
AUUCAUCUGACGUGUCCCAAAUAGGCCGAAACAUACGUCUCGGAU